GACGAACGCUGGCGGCGUGCUUAACACAUGCAAGUCGAACGAUGAAGAAGAGAAACGCGAACUUCGGUUCAAAUUUCACUUCGGAUUAGUGGCAGACGGGUGAGUAACGCGUGAGCAACCUACCUCUUACAAAGGGAUAGCCUCGGGAAACCGUGAUUAAUACCAUAUGACACAUUCAUAAGGCAUCUUAAGAAUGUUAAAGCUACGGCGGUAAGAGAUGGGCUCGCGUCCCAUUAGCUAGUUGGUGAGGUAACGGCCCACCAAGGCGACGAUGGGUAACCGGGCUGAGAGGGUGAACGGUCACAUUGGAACUGAGACACGGUCGAAACUCCUACGGGAGGCAGCAGUGGGGAAUAUUGCACAAUGGAGGGAACUCUGAUGCAGCGACGCCGCGUGAGCGAUGAAGGAAUUCGUGUAGUAAAGCUCUGUUCUAUGGGAAGAAAAGGACUGUACCAUAGGAGAAAGCCCCGGCUAAAUACGUG
rnacentral:rRNA from 1 species